AGUGGCAAACGGGUGAGUAACACGUAGGCAACCUGCCGACAGGAUGGGGACAACAUUCCGAAAGGAAUGCUAAUACCGAAUGAAAUCCGAGGAGGGCAUCCUCCCCGGCUCAAAGAAGGCCUCUUUACAAUGCUAUCGCCUGUCGAUGGGCCUGCGUCCCAUUAGCUAGUUGGAGAGGUAACGGCUCACCAAGGCGAUGAUGGGUAGCCGGCCUGAGAGGGUGAACGGCCACAAGGGGACUGAGACACGGCCCUUACUCCUACGGGAGGCAGCAGUGGGGAAUAUUGGACAAUGGACCUAAAGUCUGAUCCAGCAAUUCUGUGUGCACGAUGACGUUUUUCGGAAUGUAAAGUGCUUUCAGUUGGGAAGAAAAAAAUGACGGUACCAACAGAAGAAGUGACGGCUAAAUACGUGCCAGCAGCCGCGGUAAUACGUAUGUCACAAGCGUUAUCCGGAUUUAUUGGGCGUAAAGCGCGUCUAGGUGGUUAUGUAAGUCUGAUGUGAAA
rnacentral:rRNA from 1 species